AGAACGAACGUUGGCGGCGUGGAUUAGGCAUGCAAGUCGAACGAAUCCCAGGUAGCAAUACUUGGGGGAAGUGGCGAAAGGGGCAGUAAUGCCUGGAUAAUCUACCCUGGGGAUGGGCAUAGCCGUUCUAACGAGCGGGUAAUACCCAGCGAUUCGGCGGAGGGGCAUCCCUUGCCGGGAAAUGAGUUUCGCCUCGGGAGAGUCCAGGUGCUAUUAGCUAGUUGGCGGGUAACGGCCCACAAGGCUGAGAUGGCUAGCGGGUGUGAGAGCACGACCCGCGCCACUGGCACUGGUGACACUGG
rnacentral:rRNA from 1 species